UACAGAGGUCUCGAGCGUUAGGCGGAAUCACUGGGCUUAAAGCGUGUGUAGGCGGAUGCCUAAGUACCUUGUGAAAUCCCACGGCUUAACCGUGGAACUGCUUGGUAUACUGGGUGUCUUGAGCCACUCAGGGGCGAGCGGAACAAAUGGUGGAGCGGUGAAAUGCGUAGAUAUCGUCUGGAACGCCGAAGGUGAAAACAGCUCGCUGGGGCUGCGCUGACGCUGAGACACGAAAGCCAGGGGAGCGAACGGG
rnacentral:rRNA from 1 species